rnacentral:rRNA from 1 species
CAGGAUGAACGCUGGCGGCGUGCUUAAUACAUGCAAGUCGAACGAAGACUUCUCGCUGAAUUGAAUUCAUUCUUUCUUGAGAUGUCUUAGUGGCGGACGGGUGAGUAACGCGUGGGUAACCUGCCUUACACAGGGGGAUAACAGUUAGAAAUGACUGCUAAUACCGCAUAAGCGCACAGUAUCGCAUGAUACAGUGUGAAAGACUCCGGUGGUGUAAGAUGGACCCGCGUCUGAUUAGCUAGUUGGUGAGGUAACGGCCCACCAAGGCGACGAUCAGUAGCCGGCCUGAGAGGGUGAACGGCCACAUUGGGACUGAGACACGGCCCAAACUCCUACGGGAGGCAGCAGUAGGGAAUAUUGGACAAUGGGGGAAACCCUGAUCCAGCGACGCCGCGUGAGUGAAGAAGUAUUUCGGUACGUAAAGCUCUAUCAGCAGGGAAGAAAAUGACGGUACCUGACUAAGAAGCACCGGCUAAAUACGUGCCAGCAGCUGC